rnacentral:rRNA from 1 species
GUAGUAAUUCUAGAGCUAAUACAUGCUAGUAAACCUGUACUUUUCGGAAAGGUUGUAUUUAUUAGAUAUCAAACCAAUAAUCUUUCGGGAUUAUUGUGAUGAUUCAUAAUAACUGAUCGGAUCAAGGUGUACCUUGAUAGAUCAUUCAAGUUUCUGCCCUAUCAGCUUUCGAUGGUAGUGUAUUGGACUACCAUGGCAGUCACGGGUAACGGAGAAUUAGGGUUCGAUUCCGGAGAGGGAGCCUGAGAAACGGCUACCACAUCUACGGAAGGCAGCAGGCGCGUAAAUUACCCAAUCCUGAUUCAGGGAGGUAGUGACAAGAAAUAACAACUCGGGGCCUCACGGCUUACGAGAUUGCAAUGAGAACAAUUUAAAUCUCUUAGCGAGGAACAAUUGGAGGGC